rnacentral:rRNA from 1 species
AUUGAACGCUGGCGGCAGGCCUAACACAUGCAAGUCGAACGGUAACAGGAAGCAGCUUGCUGCUUCGCUGACGCGUGUCGGACGGGUGAGUAAUGUCUGGGAAGCUGCCUGUUGGAGUGGGAUAACUACUGGAAACGGUAGCUAAUACCGCAUAAUGUCGCAAGACCAAAGAGGGGGACCUUCUGGCCUCUUGCCCUCGGAUGUGCCCAGAUGUGAGUAGCUCGUUGGUGGGGUAACGGCUCACCAAGGCGACGAUCCCUAUCUGGUAUGAGAGGAUGAUCAGCCACACGGGAACUGAGACACGGUGCAGACUCCUACGGGAGGCAGCAGUGGGGAAGAUUGGACAAUGGGCGCAAGCCUGAUCCAGCCAGAACGCGGGGGUGAAGAAGGCCUUCGGGUUGUAAAGCACUUUUGUUGGGAAAGAAAAGCAGCAGGUUAAUACCCCGCUGUUAUGACGGUACCAAAAGAAUAAGCACCGGCUAACUUCGUG